UAGGGAAUUUUCGGCAAUGGGGGGGAACCCGUGACCGAGCAACGCCGCGUGAAGGAAGAAGGAAUUCGUUCUGUAAACUUCUGUUAUAAAGGAAGAAAGACGGAUGGAGGAAAUGACAUCCGAGUGACGGUACUUUAUGAGAAAGCCACGGCUAACUACGUGCC
rnacentral:rRNA from 1 species